GUAUGUUUCAGAAAUGUUCACAAAGACACCUUACCUCUAGCAUAUAGGCUUACUGUUAUUUAGUCUUUCUUUUAAAAAAAUUGUUUUUUUUUUUUGUUUUUGCAGGCAAGUCUGGCCAACUAAAGCAAAAGUAAAAUUUAAUGGAAGGUUAUUGCUAACUCACAGAGAAGGCUGAGAACCAGGCUUGGAAGAGGGACUGAGAUAGCCCGAGAGGAGCAGAAAUGGCCCUGGAUCUAAUUUCUUCUGUUUGGAAUUCAGAAGAGUAACUACAUACUUCACUUCACACCCCCCUUCUCACUUCCCAUCAACUCGGCUGUCCUGUUGGAGAGAAUUUGAAGACAUAAUUGCCAUGGUGCGGAAACUUCUAGACACUGGAAUGAGACAUUGUAGUCCUGAGAGGAAGAGGACGGAAGCAGGAGAUAGAAUAUAUGGAGCUUCUAAGACCAACAUGAGGAGCAGGACUGUGGGUUAAGUGGCGCAUCCACAGACCACCUGAUGAACAGGUUGCACAGGAGGGCAUAUGACAGAGUAGGAAUGGAGCCUGGGCUAGAUUCAAGCCGAGGGAGGUGUUGGUUCCCGCUAGUCCCCCAUGAGGCUAUAGAGCUGUGAAGCAGAGCAGAGGAUGAAAGCUCAGGCUCUGGCAUCUGAACACCUGGACUCUAAUCCUUUCUCCAUCUGACACUAGCUGCGGAGCUGUGGAAAAGUGACC
rnacentral:lncRNA from 1 species